GGCCCAAGCCAGGCACAACUUACUCCAAUCCCUCCUCCUUUUUUUAAGUUAUUUCACAGAAGAUACCCUAAUUUAUGACCAGAGACUUUGAGGAAACAGGAGAGGGUCCGCUGAUGGCAGGAAGUAUUGGGUUUGUUUUGUUUGGGAGUGAUUCCUAGGUUACCGGGUUUGGGAAAUGGUUUAAUUUGAGGGGGUUCAUUGUUUCUUUACUUUUCUUUCAGAGACAGAGGACUCCCCUCGAGUCUUCUCUCACUGGGCUCUGGCUUAAUAGAUGGUCCACAGAUUGUACUGUCUCCUGGGGGAGAAUCCAGGCACGUUGGGAAUUUAAUAAUUAGUUGGGAAACCACUGAGCGAGACCACCAGGAAUAGAUGCAUGACAUGACAUUUUUCUGCUCAAGGACACAUCACUAAAGUCCUGAAGGCUUCACCUGGGGGUGGGGGGUGUAAGGUGUUAGAGGAAGAAACCUGCUUCUCACAUGUUCACUAUGCCCAUCUCCCUCCCAACUAGGUUCUUUCUAGUUUUUCAAGCAAUAGUUCUCGCCUGCCUAAGGCCUUUGACAGGAAGACCCUGACUAACUGUAAGGCACCAGGCAGUCAACGACAGAAACUUCCCCAGUGUGUGAGUCCUUGACAUGUGCUCUUGUUGCUUGGCAUUUGUGGUGACAGGGAGUGACCCCAGAGGCUAUCACUGUGCUCUGGACAGAAGUUACAGACACUGGUUUCUUGGAAAAUGAAGAGAAGCACAUUUUGCACAGAUGUCGUCAAUGAAGUCCCAAUUUGCCACUUGGUAUCGAGUACACUGGACCCUGACAGCUGGCUCUUGAGCAAACAUCCUUCCUCACAGGAUGCCACCAAUAAGCUAGCCAGUUUCAUCCCUCCCGUCCCAGAGGGAUGGCCAGGGAGGGAGGAAGCAGAGAACUGCUGCAUUGAAAACCACAGAAUGGGUUCACCUCAGACUGGCUCAAGGGCACAAGUUAUUGUGAACAUUUCGCCAAUCACUGCUCAACCGCCCUGCUAGAUUUUUCUAUGAUGCUGAAUUAUUAUGCAGAAUAACUCCACCAAGUUGAGAUACACCCAUGCUUGUUACACUUGUAUUUAUUGAAACUGUGGAUUCUUGCCCGCCCGUGCUCUCCCUUGUAUUUACUUUAAGCACUGAUCACUUAUCAUCCACUCGGUAUGGUUUUCCCAGUCCCUUGUACACAUCCUGGUUUGAAUUGUAAAAAAUAACCUGCUACAGACUGGUUGAACGUUUCUGUCUGAGCUGCAAGCCAAGGGGUGGCGUCAACCGAGGACCAGGAGUGGAAAUCACCCAUUUGGGCUCUCAGAGCUAAGACACACUUACUGAUUUGGUUGCACAUUUUGCACUGGUUUAUGGCGAUUGUUUUCUUGGACGAAUGGUGUAAAAUAAACUUCUCUGUUCUGUAUCCUCCCUC
rnacentral:lncRNA from 1 species